rnacentral:misc_RNA from 1 species
GAUGAAGAACGUAGCGAAACGCGAUAGGUAAUGUGAAUUGCAGAAUUCCGUGAAUCAUCGAAUCUUUGAACGCACAUUGCGCCUUCUGGUAUUCCGGUAGGCAUAUCUGUCUGAGCGUCAGCGAAACAACCCCUCGGCCGUCGGCAGGGUGGCAAAGCCCCGCCUUCGGCCGGUCAUGGGCAGGGAGAGGCCUGGCACCGCAGGGUACAGCCGUCCCGCCUUGAAUCCGCUGCACGACCGCGAGCCAGACCAUGGCCCGGGGACAAUACGGAGUGGUGUUCGCAUAUCUUCCGCAUCCCCGCAGGUAACGGCACGCGCGGCGUUAAGCCAGACGUCUUCCCCGAGAGGGGUCGACUGUGGUUUGACCUCAGAUCAGAUAAGAAUACCCGCUGAACUUAAGCAUAUCAAUAAGCGGAGGA